GACGAACGCUGGCGGCGUGCUUAACACAUGCAAGUCGAACGGAAAGGCCCUGCUUUUGUGGGGUGCUCGAGUGGCGAACGGGUGAGUAACACGUGAGUAACCUGCCCUUGACUUUGGGAUAACUUCAGGAAACUGGGGCUAAUACCGGAUAGGAGCUCCUGCUGCAUGGUGGGGGUUGGAAAGUUUCGGCGGUUGGGGAUGGACUCGCGGCUUAUCAGCUUGUUGGUGGGGUAGUGGCUUACCAAGGCUUUGACGGGUAGCCGGCCUGAGAGGGUGACCGGGCACAUUGGGCCUGCGAUACGGCCCAGACUCCUACGGGAGGCAGCAGUGGGGAAUAUUGCACAAUGGGCGGAAGCCUGAUGCAGCAACGCCGCGUUCGGGAUGACGGCCUUCGGGUUGUAAACCGCUUUCGCCUGUGACGAAGCGUGAGUGACGGUAAUGGGUAAAGAAGCACCGGCUAACUACGUG
rnacentral:rRNA from 1 species